GACAAAGGAGAGAUGUGUUGCACUGUUGCACUUCUUGAUGCUGUUAUCGUUGACGUCUUCAACUGUUCAUAUUUUGGCUUCUACACAAGUCAAUAAUUUUAGGUAACCUUCUCUCCUCCCCCCCCAAUGAGGUAAGUAUCUAAAUAGGGUUUGUAUUUAUAGUCACCCGUAAGGCGUGGGUGCAGGGUGAAGCUCGGGUGAGAUUGCAAUGCAAGACUUAGGCCACAGUGACAGCCUGCGUAUAAGAGUGUGGCCUAAAACAGGUGUGUAGUAGCUCAUCCUGUUCUCAUGGGGAUCCACAAGUGGUUCUACAGCUGUCACUACAGGAGCAGCCCAUCAGCUUGCAGGUACCCAGGUGCCCAAGAGGAACCUCCAGUUGCUAGCAAGAUGCUCUGGGAAGUCUUCACAGCAGGGACUCGGUGUUUCGUAAGCGACAACCGGAGCUGCCUGUUGUGAGGAGCCAGCCCUGCUAGGCAUCAUUAGUGGCUCCUCAGGGAGGAACACGUGCAGCCUGGGGUGCAGUCCUGAGGUUCCAGUGUAGAUCUAGGUUCCGAAGAUAAAUAAAAGGAAGUCUUUCAAAAUGAAGAUUGGCCUUUUACUGAAACUGCAAGAUGGACAAGGAUAUCAAUUUAAACCAUUCAUAAAGGUAAUACUUGAAGCAGACAAGAAAACACUCCUUGUUAGGCGUGUACUCUGGAGGGAAGCACAGCAUGUACACCUACAGAGCAUCUGUGUGAUGGACUCACGUGCAUUCUUUGGAAUAGUGAGGAUGUCACUACAGGAUGUGCUGCAGUUAGCCCGUUUCCUCACUCGCUGGAGGGGGCCUUGCUUACACUGUGUUGUUACCCCUUCACUUUCAUUAGAGUCUUCCUCUUAAGUCGUGUGGAAAUAAGAAGGCUACGCCAAUAUGAUGUUAGAUUUGUUCAUGUCUACACCUUGUUUAGCUUCCUUCAUCUGCAACAGAAAAGGACUUAACAGAAUCUGAGAAGUCAAGCUUUGUUCCCUUUGGUACCGGCACAAGCUUAACAUCAAAUAAACAAAAUUAGCGUGCUGCCAGGGCAAA